UACGUAGGGGGCUAGCGUUGUCCGGAAUCAUUGGGCGUAAAGAGCGUGUAGGCUGCUCGGUACGUCCGCUGUAAAAGUCAAAGGCUCAACCUUUGAAUGUCAGUGGAUACUGCCGGGCUAGAGUCCGGAAGAGGCGAGUGGAACUCCUGGUGUAGCGGUGGAAUGCGUAGAUAUCGUAAGGAAGACCAGUGGCGAAGGCGGGUCUCUGGACAGUUCCUGACGCUGAGGCGCGAAAGCGUGGGGAGCGAACAGG
rnacentral:rRNA from 1 species